rnacentral:rRNA from 1 species
UACAGGGGGUGCAAACGUUGCUCGGAAUCAUUGGGCGUAAAGCGCACGUAGGCGGUUCGUUAUGUCGGAUGUGAAAGCCCUUGGCUUAACCGAGGAAGUGCAUCCGAAACUGGCGAGCUAGAGUACGAAAGAGGAUCGCGGAAUUCCCGGUGUAGAGGUGAAAUUCGUAGAUAUCGGGAGGAACACCGGUGGCGAAGGCGGGUCUCUGGGCCGAUAUUGACGCUGAGGAGCGAAAGCGUGGGGAGCAAACAGG